rnacentral:rRNA from 1 species
AACGAACGCUGGCGGCAGGCUUAACACAUGCAAGUCGAACGGUUGUAGCAAUACAGCAGUGGCAGACGGGAUAGUAACACGUGGGAACGUACCCUUCAGUUCGGAACAACCCAGGGAAACUUGGGCUAAUACCGAAUACGUCCGUAAGGAGAAAGAUUUAUCGCUGAAGGAUCGGCCCGCGUCUGAUUAGCUAGUUGGUGAGGUAACGGCUCACCAAGGCGACGAUCAGUAGCUGGCUGAGAGGAUGAUCAGCAUCACUGGGACUGAGACACGGCCCAGACUCCUACGGGAGGCAGCAGUGGGGAAUAUUGCGCAAUGGACGAAAGUCUGACGCAGCGGCGCCGCGUGUGGGAUGACGGUCUUCGGAUUGUAAACCACUGUCGGGAGGGACGAAUACGCCGCAAGGCGGGUGACGGUACCUCCAAAGGAAGCACCGGCUAACUCCGUGCCAGCAGCCGCGGUAAG